rnacentral:rRNA from 1 species
AUGCAACGCUGGCGGCGUGCCUAACACAUGCAAGUCGAGCGAGAGCAGCCGCAAGCCGGUGCAGUACGAGUGGCGACCGGGUGAGUAAUCAGCGUGGACUACCUGCCCUUGAGCGUGGGAAAUAACUCCGGGGAAACUCGAGCUAAUACCGCAACACCGUAGGUACAAAGGAGGCAGCCAGGCUCAUCGCCGCAGGGGGGUCGCGUCCGAUUAGCUAGUUGGUAGGGUAACGGGCCUACCAAGGCAGAUGAUCAGUAAGCCGGGCCUGAGAGGGUGCAUCGGACACACUGGAACUGAGACACGGUCCAGACUCCUACGGGAGGCAGCAGUGGGGAAUUUUGCAGCAAUGGGGCUAAAGCCCUGAUGCAGCAACGCCGCGUGGAGAGGAUGAAGGUCCUUUGGAUGUAAACUCCUGUCGAUCCGGAAAGGAUCCCGACCUAAUACGUCGGGAGUGAUGUACCGGAUGAAGAAGCCCGGCUAACUCUGUGCCAGCAGCCGCGGUAAUACAGAGGGGGGCUAGCGUUAUUCGGAAUUAUUGGGCGUAAAGGGCGCGUACGGUGGCCUGGUAAGUAGGCAGUGAAAUCCUCGGGCUCAACCUGAGGAACUGCCCUCGUAAACUGCUGGCUUGAGUCGGGAGAGGGUGCGUGGAAUUCCCAGGUGUAGCGGUGAAAUGCGUAGAUAUCGGGGAGGAACACCAGUGGCGAAGGCGGCUCACUGGACUGACACUGACGCUUGAGGCGCGAAAGCGUAGGGGAGCAAACGGGAUUAGAUACCCCGGUAGUCCUACGCCCGUAAACGAUGAGUGCUUGGUGUAGCGGGUAUCGACCCCUGCUGUGCCGAAGCUAACACGAUAAGCACUCCGCCUGGGGAGUACGGUCGCAAGACUGAAACUCAAAGGAAUUGACGGGGGCCCGCACAAGCGGUGGAGCAUGUGGUUCAAUUCGACGCAACGCGAAGAACCUUACCUGGGCUCUGAAAGUAGGUAAGCAUCAGGGAUUGAAGAUCCCCUCUCCGGCAGGGCUGCUAGUAGAGGUGCUGCAUGGCUGUCGUCAGCUCGUGUCGUGAGAUGUUGGGUUAAGUCCCGCAACGAGCGCACCCUAUUGCCCAUAGUUGCUCAUCGGUUCGGCGAGCACUCUAUGGCGAGACUGCCGGUGAUAAACCGGAGGAAGGUGGGGAUGACGUCAAGUCCUCAUGGCCUUUAUGUCCAGGGCUACACACGUGCUACAAUGGUACGGUACAAAGCCGUUCGCGAUACCCGCUGAGGGGGAGCUAAUCUCAUAAAGCCGAUCCUCAGUUCGGAUUCGGAGUCUGCCAACUCGACUGCCUGAAGCUGGAAUCGCUAGUAAUCGCGGAUCAGACACGCCGCGGUGAAUACGUUCCCGGGCCUUGUACACACCGCCCGUCACAUCACGAAAGUGGAUGCUACUAGAAGUCGGUGGGCUAACCCGCAAGGGGAGGCAGCCGCCUAAGUAGUGAUUCAGGUAAUUGGGGUG